CUAUUUUGCGUAUUCUCCCAGUUUCACUUCACGCGGCCUGGUAAAAAUUAUGCAUUGUUGUUGGUAGAGACACGAGAAAAGCAAAGUAAAAUACUGAUUUCCGAUUAUUAGGGACUAUUACUUUAAUCGCGUCGUACAUUUGGUGCAUCUUUAGUUCGUUAAUAUAGAUCAAACGAGACGGUAGUCGUCGCAAGCUAAAACUCAUAAAACAUGGAAAGGAGCAUAAUAUACUUCAACAAAGCGUCACGCGAAAUGAGAAAUACAUUUACAUGCGAACUGUGCUUACUUAGUGUCAGAAUAUACUGAUAAGAUUUCCUCUUUUCUGCCCUUCAAAAUUUAAAGUUAACGCUUGCGAUCGAUAAUUUAUGCUAGUUUGAUCCACCGGCCUAGCAGCAGGAGGAAGAGAAGAACGAGCUUAACAGCGUCAUUCUUGGCCUUCAAUUGAUGAUUCCCCUAAUUACGUUUUCGUAGCGCUUUGCAUUGUGGUUAUAGUGGUAUCAC